UAGCAUAAUCAUUUGUUUUUUAAUUGAGGACUGGUAUGAAAGGUUUAACAAAGUUUAUUGUCUUUAUUUUAUAAUAUUAAAUUGUAUUUUAGGUAAAAAUACUUAGAUAAGUCUAAGGGACGAUAAGACCCUAAAAGUUUUAUUAUAUUUUUAUUAGUUAUGUUAAUAAAUAAAAAAAUUUAGCUGGGGUAGUUUUUUUAAAAAAUCUAAAAUUUUAAUGAACAUUUAAUUGGAUAAAAUCCCUUUAAAUAAGGAAAAAUUGAAUAAAUUACUUUAGGGAUAACAGCGUAAUAAUUUUAGAGAGAUCUUAUCUAUAUAAUUGAUUGCGACCUCGAUGUUGAAUUAAAAUAGCUUUGUGGAGCAAAAACUAUAAGAGCAGGUUUGUUCAACCUUUAUAAUUUUACAUGAUUU
rnacentral:rRNA from 1 species